rnacentral:rRNA from 1 species
AGCGAACGCUGGCGGCAGGCCUAACACAUGCAAGUCGAACGAACUCUUCGGAGUUAGUGGCGGACGGGUGAGUAACACGUGGGAACGUGCCUUUUGGUUCGGAAUAACUCAGGGAAACUUGUGCUAAUACCGAAUGUGCCCUUCGGGGGAAAGAUUUAUCGCCAUUAGAGCGGCCCGCGUCUGAUUAGCUAGUUGGUGAGGUAACGGCUCACCAAGGCGACGAUCAGUAGCUGGUCUGAGAGGAUGACCAGCCACACUGGGUCUGAGACACGGCCCAGACUCCUACGGGAGGCAGCAGUGGGGAAUCUUGCGCAAUGGGCGAAAGCCUGACGCAGCCAUGCCGCGUGAAUGAUGAAGGUCUUAGGAUUGUAAAAUUCUUUCACCGGGGACGAUAAUGACGGUACCCGGAGAAGAAGCCCCGGCUAACCUCGUG